rnacentral:rRNA from 1 species
AUACGGAGGGUGCAAGCGUUAUCCGGAAUCACUGGGUUUAAAGGGUGCGUAGGCGGCCAUAUUAGUCAGUAGUGAAAGGUUGCAGCUUAACUGUAAGACUGCUAUUGAAACUGUAUGGCUUGAAUUAGGAUGAGGUAGGCGGAAUGUGACAUGUAGCGGUGAAAUGCUUAGAUAUGUCAUAGAACACCGAUUGCGUAGGCAGCUUACUAGACCUAUAUUGACGCUGAGGCACGAAAGCGUGGGGAGCGAACAGGAUUAGAAACCCUUGUAGUCC